rnacentral:rRNA from 1 species
UGCAAGUUCGAACGCGAAAGUUCCUUUCGGGGAGCGAGUAGAGUGGCGCACGGGUGAGUAACGCGUAAAUAAUCUACCCUGAUGUCUGGGAUAACCCUUCGAAAGGGGGACUAAUACCGGGUAUAUGAUUGACUGUCGGGUUAAUCAGGAAAGGUGGGGCUUCUUCGGAACCUAUCACAUCGGGAUGAGUUUGCGUACCAUUAGCUAGUUGGUGGGGUAACGGCCUACCAAGGCGACGAUGGUUAGCGGGUCUGAGAGGAUGAUCCGUCACACUGGCACUGGAACACGGGCCAGACUCCUACGGGAGGCAGCAGUGAGGAAUAUUGCGCAAUGGGGGAAACCCUGACGCAGCGACGCCGCGUGAGUGAGGAAGGCCUUCGGGUCGUAAAGCUCUGUCAGAAGGGAAGAAGUGUAUUGCGGUUAAUACCCGUAGUAUUUGACGGUACCUUCAAAGGAAGCACCGGCUAACUCCGUGCCAGCAGCCGCGGUAAUACGGAGGGUGCGAGCGUUGUUCGGAAUCACUGGGCGUAAAGGGCGCGCAGGCGGUUUGUUUAGUCAGAUGUGAAAGCCCACGGCUCAACCGUGGAAGUGCAUUUGAAACUGGCAAACUUGAGUACCAGAGGGGAAGGUGGAAUUCCCGGUGUAGAGGUGAAAUUCGUAGAUAUCGGGAGGAAUACCGGUGGCGAAGGCGACUUUCUGGCUGGAUACUGACGCUGAGGCGCGAAAGCGUGGGGAGCAAACAGGAUUAGAUACCCUGGUAGUCCACGCCGUAAACGAUGUGAACUAGAUGUUGGAGGUGUUGAUCCCUUCGGUGUCGGAGCUAACGCAUUAAGUUCACCGCCUGGGGAGUACGGUCGCAAGAUUAAAACUCAAAGGAAUUGACGGGG